rnacentral:lncRNA from 1 species
UGGGUUCAUCUACGGUACCAGUACUACGGGGAACUGGGGCUGACGAACUCCUAAAACUGCUAGAAGAGGAGAUAUCAGAAGAUAUUUUGGAUCAAAUGGAAGCCACAAAAAUCUCAGAAAAUCAAGAAAAAAUAGAAAAAAGGUCCCCGAGAAAGCUAAACAAAUAGAAUACGAAAAAAAGGAUAGGAAAACAUCAGGAAAUUCCAGAACUGACCU